AUCCAAUAUCAGGUGGGUUGAGGUGGUCAGCAGAUAAUAGGUACGUGCUGCCGUCGUUUGGUCCCUCUCCUCUCCUUGCUUCUGCCUCUUCCUAUAUUCAUGUUUUGUGUUCUUGCCUUGCCAGAAGCCGUUCAUCUCCAUUGCCCAGCGGGGGCCUCUUCGGGACUAAUCUAGCAUCAGGCGUUAUAGGAGGAGAGACGGCUCUCAUGGAUUAGGAUGUUGCACAUCAUUGACGGGUCAUUCCAUGGAUUAGGAUGUUGCACAUCAUCGACGGGUCAUUCCGCGCGCUGCUCUUGUUGAUUUGUUCUUGACAUAUCCUCUGUGGUGUUGUACCUUUUGAAUCAGUUGGUGGUUUAUAUUAGCAAGUACUAUCAUUCGGUCACUUUUGAACCACCGAUAUUGUAUGCGAUCAGUCCUCUAAACUAUAAAACUAUUGCUUUUGUGUUCAUACAAGCCUCUUAGUAUAUAUGAUGUCACUAUUAUUCUUUUAAGGCGGAUCCAUU
rnacentral:lncRNA from 1 species